CUUUCUCACUCACAUUCCUGGUCACAGCAGAACUAUUUGUAUAUGUGGUUGUACUUCCCAUCUAGGUGUGGUGGAUAGGAAGCCAGGCUCGGGGAAGAAAGAUGGAUGAAGACAACACGUGCAGCCUGGCAGAAAGGGGCGUGUAUGCACACAGGAAUCACAAUGACCCCCAUGGGGACUAGGAAACAAAACUGGGCCAAAGCUUCCUACAAAGAAAAGCUUGUGAAGAGAGAUCCUCUUUCAGACCCCCAAUCAAAGGACGUUUUUCUGGACAAACAAAAUGGCUUACAACCAUUGUUGAUUGCUGCUGAGAACUGUGAACUCUACCUCCUGUACAUCCUCUGGAGGAACAGGGACCUCAGACAUCAAGAACCCAAG
rnacentral:lncRNA from 1 species